UGGGCGUAAGCGCGCGCAGGCGGUCCUUUAAGUCUGAUGUGAAAGCCCACGGCUCAACCGUGGAGGGUCAUUGGAAACUGGGAGACUUGAGUGCAGAAGAGGAAAGUGGAAUUCCAUGUGUAGCGGUGAAAUGCGUAGAGAUUUGGAGGAACACCAGUGGCGAAGGCGACUUUCUGGUCUGUAACUGACGCUGAGGCGCGAAAGCGUGGGGAGCAAACAGGAUUAGAUACCCUGGUAGUCCACGCCGUAAACGAUGAGUGCUAAGUGUUAGGGGGUUUCCGCCCCUUAGUGCUGCAGUUAACGCAUUAAGCACUCCGCCUGGGGAGUACGGCCGCAAGGCUGAAACUCAAAGGAAUUGACGGGGGCCCGCACAAGCGGUGGAGCAUGUGGUU
rnacentral:rRNA from 1 species